ACGGCCAGUCCGACUGUUUAACAAAAACAUAACCUUUAGCCAAACAAGUAUUAAAGGCAACGCCUGCCCAGUGAGAAAAAUCUUAAACGGCCGCGGUACCCUAACCGUGCAAAGGUAGCAUAAUCACUUGUCCACUAAUUAUGGACUAGUAUGAAUGGCCACAUGAGAGUCAAACUGUCUCUUAUAACCCAUCAGUGAAACUGAUCUUACAGUCCAAAAGCUGUAAUAACCCCAUAAGACGAGAAGACCCUGUGAAACUUUAAACUACCCCUCACAUAAACCCUGAGGGCACUUUUCAGUUGGGGCGACUUUGGAAAAAACAAAACUUCCAAACACAUAGGGAUAUUCCUCCCACAUUAAGGCCCACACGCCAACUAUACGAUCCAGUAAAUCUGAUAAAUGAACCAAGCUACUCCAGGGAUAACAGCGCUAUCUUCCUCAAGAGCCCAUAUCAAAAGGAAGGUUUACGACCUCGAUGUUGGAUCAGGGCACCCAAGCGGCGCAGCCACUGCUAAAGGUUCGUUUGUUCAACGAUUAACAGCCCUACGUGAUCUGAGUUCAGACCGGAGGGU
rnacentral:rRNA from 1 species